rnacentral:rRNA from 1 species
UCAUCAUGCCCUUGACCUGGGCUACACACGUGCUACAAUGGCUGGUACAACGAGUCGCAAGCCGGUGACGGCAAGCUAAUCUCUUAAAGCCAGUCUCAGUUCGGAUUGUAGGCUGCAACUCGCCUACAUGAAGUCGGAAUCGCUAGUAAUCGCGGAUCAGCACGCCGCGGUGAAUACGUUCCCGGGCCUUGUACACACCGCCCGUCACACCACGAGAGUUUGUAACACCCGAAGUCGGUGAGGUAACCGUAAGGAGCCAGCCGCCUAAGGUGGGAUAGAUGAUUGGGGUGAAGUCGUAACAAGGUAGCCGUAUCGGAA